rnacentral:rRNA from 1 species
GUUAAGCGACUAAGCGUACACGGUGGAUGCCCUGGCAGUCAGAGGCGAUGAAGGACGUGCUAAUCUGCGAUAAGCGUCGGUAAGGUGAUAUGAACCGUUAUAACCGGCGAUUUCCGAAUGGGGAAACCCAGUGUGUUUCGACACACUAUCAUUAACUGAAUCCAUAGGUUAAUGAGGCGAACCGGGGGAACUGAAACAUCUAAGUACCCCGAGGAAAAGAAAUCAACCGAGAUUCCCCCAGUAGCGGCGAGCGAACGGGGAGCAGCCCAGAGCCUGAAUCAGUGUGUGUGUUAGUGGAAGCGUCUGGAAAGGCGCGCGAUACAGGGUGACAGCCCCGUACACAAAAAUGCACAUGCUGUGAGCUCGAUGAGUAGGGCGGGACACGUGGUAUCCUGUCUGAAUAUGGGGGGACCAUCCUCCAAGGCUAAAUACUCCUGACUGACCGAUAGUGAACCAGUACCGUGAGGGAAAGGCGAAAAGAACCCCGGCGAGGGGAGUGAAAAAGAACCUGAAACCGUGUACGUACAAGCAGUGGGAGCACGCUUAGGCGUGUGACUGCGUACCUUUUGUAUAAUGGGUCAGCGACUUAUAUUCUGUAGCAAGGUUAACCGAAUAGGGGAGCCGAAGGGAAACCGAGUCUUAACUGGGCGUUAAGUUGCAGGGUAUAGACCCGAAACCCGGUGAUCUAGCCAUGGGCAGGUUGAAGGUUGGGUAACACUAACUGGAGGACCGAACCGACUAAUGUUGAAAAAUUAGCGGAUGACUUGUGGCUGGGGGUGAAAGGCCAAUCAAACCGGGAGAUAGCUGGUUCUCCCCGAAAGCUAUUUAGGUAGCGCCUCGUGAAUUCAUCUCCGGGGGUAGAGCACUGUUUCGGCAAGGGGGUCAUCCCGACUUACCAACCCGAUGCAAACUGCGAAUACCGGAGAAUGUUAUCACGGGAGACACACGGCGGGUGCUAACGUCCGUCGUGAAGAGGGAAACAACCCAGACCGCCAGCUAAGGUCCCAAAGUCAUGGUUAAGUGGGAAACGAUGUGGGAAGGCCCAGACAGCCAGGAUGUUGGCUUAGAAGCAGCCAUCAUUUAAAGAAAGCGUAAUAGCUCACUGGUCGAGUCGGCCUGCGCGGAAGAUGUAACGGGGCUAAACCAUGCACCGAAGCUGCGGCAGCGACGCUUAUGCGUUGUUGGGUAGGGGAGCGUUCUGUAAGCCUGCGAAGGUGUGCUGUGAGGCAUGCUGGAGGUAUCAGAAGUGCGAAUGCUGACAUAAGUAACGAUAAAGCGGGUGAAAAGCCCGCUCGCCGGAAGACCAAGGGUUCCUGUCCAACGUUAAUCGGGGCAGGGUGAGUCGACCCCUAAGGCGAGGCCGAAAGGCGUAGUCGAUGGGAAACAGGUUAAUAUUCCUGUACUUGGUGUUACUGCGAAGGGGGGACGGAGAAGGCUAUGUUGGCCGGGCGACGGUUGUCCCGGUUUAAGCGUGUAGGCUGGUUUUCCAGGCAAAUCCGGAAAAUCAAGGCUGAGGCGUGAUGACGAGGCACUACGGUGCUGAAGCAACAAAUGCCCUGCUUCCAGGAAAAGCCUCUAAGCAUCAGGUAACAUCAAAUCGUACCCCAAACCGACACAGGUGGUCAGGUAGAGAAUACCAAGGCGCUUGAGAGAACUCGGGUGAAGGAACUAGGCAAAAUGGUGCCGUAACUUCGGGAGAAGGCACGCUGAUAUGUAGGUGAAGUCCCUCGCGGAUGGAGCUGAAAUCAGUCGAAGAUACCAGCUGGCUGCAACUGUUUAUUAAAAACACAGCACUGUGCAAACACGAAAGUGGACGUAUACGGUGUGACGCCUGCCCGGUGCCGGAAGGUUAAUUGAUGGGGUCAGCGCAAGCGAAGCUCUUGAUCGAAGCCCCGGUAAACGGCGGCCGUAACUAUAACGGUCCUAAGGUAGCGAAAUUCCUUGUCGGGUAAGUUCCGACCUGCACGAAUGGCGUAAUGAUGGCCAGGCUGUCUCCACCCGAGACUCAGUGAAAUUGAACUCGCUGUGAAGAUGCAGUGUACCCGCGGCAAGACGGAAAGACCCCGUGAACCUUUACUAUAGCUUGACACUGAACAUUGAGCCUUGAUGUGUAGGAUAGGUGGGAGGCUUUGAAGUGUGGACGCCAGUCUGCAUGGAGCCGACCUUGAAAUACCACCCUUUAAUGUUUGAUGUUCUAACGUUGACCCGUAAUCCGGGUUGCGGACAGUGUCUGGUGGGUAGUUUGACUGGGGCGGUCUCCUCCUAAAGAGUAACGGAGGAGCACGAAGGUUGGCUAAUCCUGGUCGGACAUCAGGAGGUUAGUGCAAUGGCAUAAGCCAGCUUGACUGCGAGCGUGACGGCGCGAGCAGGUGCGAAAGCAGGUCAUAGUGAUCCGGUGGUUCUGAAUGGAAGGGCCAUCGCUCAACGGAUAAAAGGUACUCCGGGGAUAACAGGCUGAUACCGCCCAAGAGUUCAUAUCGACGGCGGUGUUUGGCACCUCGAUGUCGGCUCAUCACAUCCUGGGGCUGAAGUAGGUCCCAAGGGUAUGGCUGUUCGCCAUUUAAAGUGGUACGCGAGCUGGGUUUAGAACGUCGUGAGACAGUUCGGUCCCUAUCUGCCGUGGGCGCUGGAGAACUGAGGGGGGCUGCUCCUAGUACGAGAGGACCGGAGUGGACGCAUCACUGGUGUUCGGGUUGUCAUGCCAAUGGCACUGCCCGGUAGCUAAAUGCGGAAGAGAUAAGUGCUGAAAGCAUCUAAGCACGAAACUUGCC